rnacentral:tRNA from 1 species
GGGGCUUUGGGCCAGUGGUAGAGCAUCUGUUUGGCAUGUAGAAGGUCCCAAGUUCAAUCCCUGGUAUCUCCA